rnacentral:rRNA from 1 species
UGGGGAAUUUUGGACAAUGGGCGAAAGCCUGAUCCAGCAAUGCCGCGUGUGUGAAGAAGGCCUUCGGGUUGUAAAGCACUUUUGUCCGGAAAGAAAUCCUUGGCUCUAAUACAGUCGGGGGAUGACGGUACCGGAAGAAUAAGCACCGGCUAACUACGUGCCAGCAGCCGCGGUAAUACGUAGGGUGCAAGCGUUAAUCGGAAUUACUGGGCGUAAAGCGUGCGCAGGCGGUUUGCUAAGACCGAUGUGAAAUCCCCGGGCUCAACCUGGGAACUGCAUUGGUGACUGGCAGGCUAGAGUAUGGCAGAGGGGGGUAGAAUUCCACGUGUAGCAGUGAAAUGCGUAGAGAUGUGGAGGAAUACCGAUGGCGAAGGCAGCCCCCUGGGCAAUACUGACGCUCAUGCACGAAAGCGUGGGGAGCAAACAGGAUUAGAUACCCUGGUAGUCCACGCCCUAAACGAUGUCAACUAGUUGUUGGGGAUUCAUUCCUUAGUAACGUAGCUAACGCGUGAAGUUGACCGCCUGGGGAGUACGGUCGCAAGAUUAAAACUU